rnacentral:rRNA from 1 species
GUGCCUAAUACAUGCAAGUAGAACGCUGAAGAGAGGAGCUUGCUCUUCUUGGAUGAGUUGCGAACGGGUGAGUAACGCGUAGGUAACCUGCCUUGUAGCGGGGGAUAACUAUUGGAAACGAUAGCUAAUACCGCAUAACAAUGGAUGACACAUGUCAUUUAUUUGAAAGGGGCAAUUGCUCCACUACAAGAUGGACCUGCGUUGUAUUAGCUAGUAGGUGAGGUAAUGGCUCACCUAGGCGACGAUACAUAGCCGACCUGAGAGGGUGAUCGGCCACACUGGGACUGAGACACGGCCCAGACUCCUACGGGAGGCAGCAGUAGGGAAUCUUCGGCAAUGGGGGCAACCCUGACCGAGCAACGCCGCGUGAGUGAAGAAGGUUUUCGGAUCGUAAAGCUCUGUUGUAAGUCAAGAACGGGUGUGAGAGUGGAAAGUUCACACUGUGACGGUAGCUUACCAGAAAGGGACGGCUAACUACGUGCCAGCAGCCGCGGUAAUACGUAGGUCCCGAGCGUUGUCCGGAUUUAUUGGGCGUAAAGCGAGCGCAGGCGGUUUGAUAAGUCUGAAGUUAAAGGCUGUGGCUCAACCAUAGUUCGCUUUGGAAACUGUCAAACUUGAGUGCAGAAGGGGAGAGUGGAAUUCCAUGUGUAGCGGUGAAAUGCGUAGAUAUAUGGAGGAACACCGGUGGCGAAAGCGGCUCUCUGGUCUGUAACUGACGCUGAGGCUCGAAAGCGUGGGGAGCGAACAGGAUUAGAUACCCUGGUAGUCCACGCCGUAAACGAUGAGUGCUAGGUGUUGGAUCCUUUCCGGGAUUCAGUGCCGCAGCUAACGCAUUAAGCACUCCGCCUGGGGAGUACGACCGCAAGGUUGAAACUCAAAGGAAUUGACGGGGGCCCGCACAAGCGGUGGAGCAUGUGGUUUAAUUCGAAGCAACGCGAAGAACCUUACCAGGUCUUGACAUCCCGAUGCUAUUUCUAGAGAUAGAAAGUUACUUCGGUACAUCGGUGACAGGUGGUGCAUGGUUGUCGUCAGCUCGUGUCGUGAGAUGUUGGGUUAAGUCCCGCAACGAGCGCAACCCCUAUUGUUAGUUGCCAUCAUUCAGUUGGGCACUCUAGCGAGACUGCCGGUAAUAAACCGGAGGAAGGUGGGGAUGACGUCAAAUCAUCAUGCCCCUUAUGACCUGGGCUACACACGUGCUACAAUGGUUGGUACAACGAGUUGCGAGUCGGUGACGGCGAGCUAAUCUCUUAAAGCCAAUCUCAGUUCGGAUUGUAGGCUGCAACUCGCCUACAUGAAGUCGGAAUCGCUAGUAAUCGCGGAUCAGCACGCCGCGGUGAAUACGUUCCCGGGCCUUGUACACACCGCCCGUCACACCACGAGAGUUUGUAACACCCGAAGUCGGUGAGGUAACCUUUUGGAGCCAGCCGCCUAAGGUGGGACAGAUGAUUGGGGGA